GGUGAGGUUUUCCUUCUAGUCAUUUUGCUCAGUGCAGAGUGGCCAAAAGCAAGUUGUAUUGGGAAAAAGAGAAAAAGAGAGGAGAGAAAGAAGGAAAGAAAAGAGAAAGGAAAAAAAAGGGAAGAAAAAAACGAAAAGAAAAAAAAAGAGAGAAGAAAAAGAGAAAGAAAAAGAAAGGAGAAAAAAAAGGGGGUGGGGGAAGGAAACAAAUCAAAAAGCAAAACAAAACAAAACAAAACCAAACAACAACAACAACAACAAAAAAAAAAAACAAACAAAAAAAGAACCACCGGGGAGUAUCUUCUGAUUCUGUGUACUUUGAGUCCCUUGGCUUCUCCUGGAAGUUGUCCGUCUAGCUGGUCUUCUGGGGGAGGGGCCUGUUGUGCUGAUUUUCAGGUGUUAGCAGUUGGGGGAGCCGCUGUGCCCCUGCCUGGUGCAGGGCUCAGUGGGGGUUGUUUACCCCGUGAGGCCGCAGGAGGAACAGCCCCAGUGGCGGGGCAGCUCUGGAAACCUGGAUUCAGCUCCGGCAGGAACUCCGUCUGCAGGGCCUGGAGGCUCCGGGGCGGGGCCGCUGAUCUGCUCAGCUCGGGGCAGGCGCUUCCUUGCUGUCCUGGGCCCUCCCGGCCUCUGCCUGUCCCGGGGGAGGCGGGAUCCUGGGCUGUGUCCCGGCGCCCUGUGCUCCGGAGCCUGCGCUGUUGGAUUCGCGCUCCCGGGCCGCGCAGCCCCCUCCGCGGAGCCGCCGCCCGAGCCCCUCCGAGCUGCUCCUGGAACCGCGCAGGCCCCUCUGCACGGAGCCUCUUCCUCUGCCCGAGCCCGGCCGAGCUGCUCCCGGGGCCGCGCAGCCCCCUCCGCGGAGCCGCCGCCCGAGCCCCUCCGAGCUGCUCCUGGAACCGCGCAGCCCCCUCCGCACGGAGCCUCUUCCUCUGCCCGAGCCCCUCCGAGCUGCUCCCGGGGCCGUACAGCCCCCUCCGCGGAGCCGCCCCCGAGCCCCUCCGAGCUGCUCCCGCCCUGCAGCCCCCUCCGCGGAGCCGCCCCCCCCCCCGCCCCCCCCCCCCCGCCCCCCCCCCGAGCUGCUCCGGGUCCCGCCGUGCCCGCUGCAGCCCUUAG
rnacentral:lncRNA from 1 species